rnacentral:tRNA from 1 species
GGGGUAUUAGCUUAGAUGGUAGAGCGCUCGCUUAACAUGCGAGAGGUAACGGGGGCGAUGCCCUUAUCCUCCA